CUCAUGGAAAGCCCAAAGUACCAAGCCUAAACUACCAAAUACCUCUCACCAAAACUAAUAAUGAGGAAGACCCUUGUUCUUGUUUGUGCUCUCUUCAUCUCCUUCGCUCUUCUCUUCCUUCCUUCCAUUGAAGCUCGGGCACUCCACACUGGUGAAGUCCUUCCAGGACCGGGACCGCCGGCACGUUGCGGACGAAGUGGGGGCAGAUAUACACCGUGCAUACCGCGACCUAAGCCAAAGAAGUGUGGUAUCUAUGAACGUUGCCCUCCGGGAGCUAGUCCUCCAGAGCCAUGAGACCAUGCAGCCAAAGCAAGCCGCUCAUGAUGGCCAAAUCGCAUGAUAAUAAUAUGAGUACUUUUCGCGGCACCGUCGUCGCGAACGAAUAAAGAAGCGAGCGAAGUCAAUUACUCUAAUGGAGACUCGUCGCCACGAACCAAAUAUAUUAAGGAUGAAUAUUAUGUCGGAUGCAUUUUAAGGUAGGAAACGGUAAAGCAAUGGAAGAAUCGUUUAGUUCAAAGUAUUGUGUCUUUUGAGGGAAAAAAGGAAUGGAGACGCAGCCUGUCUCUCAGGUUUCAUCUUCUUCUUAGACUCCUUUCUAAAUGUGUGUGCCAUGAAGUGCUUUCGCUGCGAUCGAUUAUUGUCAAAUGAACUUGUUAAAGUAUUUAAAAUACUAAAUCGUAUCUUUAGGAGGAUAGAUUGAGGAACUUCAAUGGGCGAUUAGGGCAACAAAGGGCAAAGAUUUGGCUACCAAACUCCUAAAAGUAUCUUUCAUAGCAAUCAUAUAUUUUAUUUGGAUGGAGCGCAACCAUAGACGAUGUCAAAACAAAUCAAUUGACAUCCAUAUUAUUUUGGCCAAGGUGCGUAUAAUGUAAGAGGUAGACCUUUACUUUACUAAAAGAUAAACCUUCCCAGUCAAAUGUUGAAUUGGCUACUAUGUGGACACUUCCUACCUCCAUAUUUUUGAAUUAUUUGAUCUAUUUGUAAUGUCGGGGGAUGCCCCUUGUUGACACCUAAAUUUUACAAUUUUAUUAUGUACAAGAUUAGAAAUUAGUCACCAAAAAAAAAAGUAAAGAAAAAAAAAAAAAAAACAAAAAACAAAACAUAAAAAACGCUUAGAGGUUGGGUCGGGCCGUAUCCGGCCAUGGCCCAGCCCGCCCCCUUUCUUCCUCUUCUUUCCCCCUCGCAUGGGCCUAGGCCCAGCCCGGCAUCUUUUCCUCCUUCGCGGCCCAUCCCAUUUGUCUUCUCUCUCUCGAGCUCAAACCUGCAAAAAAGUAGAAACAGCAGCGGAGACAGAGAGGAGCAGGAGAUCGCGAGGGGCAGAUGGUAGCGUGAUCCGCGGGUCGGGAUCGGUCUGGCCAGCAAGCUCGCAGUGGCAGAGGCCAUGUGCGCCUGCUGGUCACCCUUAAAAGUGAAGGUCUCGCUCAUUUGCAACGGGGGGUGUUCUGGGCUGUUUUUUUGGGGUCGAGAGAGAAACAGAGAGUACCGAAGAGCGAGCUGGAGAGAGAGCGAGCUGGAGAGAGAGUGCAAGCUCGAGAGAGUGUUUGGUCGUCGCCGGAGGUCCGUUCGUCAGUUGCCAUUCGCCGCAGUCCUCCUCUCGAACCAGGAUGGCAAGAUUGGUUAAAUGACUUUUUCACUACGAGGAAGGAAAACUUUGCGUGUGAACUCGAGUCUUCCCGAUCGGGACGAAAGAUCCGAGUUGACGCGGACAUAUGACAGCUUGCAAGGGCCCGGAGAUCUCAAUUACGGUGGAGACAUCAAUAAGUGAAGGAAUUUGGGUCAUAAGACGGUUCGGGCCGGGUUUCAUUUUUUUUUUCCCUUCUUUUUCCUUCCUUCGCGCUCUUUAUCGCACCAACAGCUCCAGAAAAUAGAAUGCCAUGGACGGAUCUUGGGAUCCGCCGCCGCAGUGAUGGAUCCUGAAAUGCUUAUCUGCCACGUACGGGUUCAGCCCUUGAAAUGCUUCCGGAAUUUUGAGGCCAUGUUGAAGAAAGUCUGUCUGAUCCAACCAGCCGUCCCGGUUCAUCUCGUUCUGCAAACAGCAUUUAGCAUCUCAUGUGCAAGUCUGCAGAAUAUUUUGUCGCCCCAAAUGUUCAAUUAAAGAAGCCUUGCUCCUACACCAAGAGCAGUGUUGAUACAUGGUUCCGCCGUGUUCAACCCCGCUAAAUCUUCAGUACUCUGACGCCACGCAUGCAACCCUUUUUAGUUGAUUUUCAAAUCGUGUUUAUAUAUGUACAGAAGGUAGAUACUGUUUUCUUGAAGAAGGGGAAAGUAAGGUGUUUGAUUUUUGUUU